rnacentral:rRNA from 1 species
UUGGUUUGGCAUCGAUGAAGAACGCAGCGAAAUGCGAUAAGUAAUGUGAAUUGCAGAAUUCAGUGAAUCAUCGAAUCUUUGAACGCACAUUGCGCCGCCAGUAUUCUGGCGGCAUGC